rnacentral:rRNA from 1 species
UACGUAGGGGGCAAGCGUUGUCCGGAUUUAUUGGGCGUAAAGAGCGCGUAGGCGGUUUGGUAGGUCCGCUGUGAAAACUCGAGGCUCAACCUCGAGACGCCGGUGGAAACCAUCAGGCUAGAGUCCGGAAGAGGAGAGUGGAAUUCCUGGUGUAGCGGUGAAAUGCGCAGAUAUCAGGAAGAACACCCGUGGCGAAGGCGGCUCUCUAGUACGGUACUGACGCUGAGACGCGAAAGCGUGGGGAGCGAACAGG